rnacentral:rRNA from 1 species
CGUAGGUGGCAAGCGUUACUCGGAAUUACUAGGCGUAAAGCGCAGGUAGGUGGUGCGGUAAGUCCGUAAUGAAAUCUCCCGGCUUAACUGGGAGGGGUUUAGGGAUACUGCCGUGCUCGAGUGUGGGAGAGGUGACUGGAAUUCCUGGUGUAGCGGUGAAAUGCGUAGAGAUCAGGAGGAACACCUAUGGCGAAAGCAGGUUACUGGCCCAAUACUGACGCUGAGCUGCGAAAGCUAGGGGAGCAAACAGGAUUAGAUACCCUGGUAGUCCUAGCCAUAAACGAUGUAGACCAGAGGUGGGGGGUAUCGACCCCCUCCGCCCCGAACCUAACGGAUUAAGUCUACCGCCUGGGGAGUACGGCCGCAAGGUUG